CGGUGAAUACGUUCCCGGGCCUUGUACACACCGCCCGUCAAGCCACGGAAGCUGGAAGUACCUGAAGUGCGUAACCGCAAGGAGCGCCCUAGGGUAAAGUCGGUAACUGGGGCU
rnacentral:rRNA from 1 species